UACUUACAUAUGACCCAGCAAUUGUUCUCUUUCGCAUUUAUUCCAGGGAAAUGAGACAAACUUGAACAUUGUGGCACAUCUACUUAUAAUAACCAAAACCUGGAAAUAAUCAGAUAUCUCUCCAUGAAUACAUGGUUAAACAAAACACAGUACAACUUACUAUGGAUUACUACUCCCAAUAACAAGGAACAAACUGUCGAUGCAUUCAACAACCUGGAUGUAUCACCAAAGAACUAUGCCGACUGAAAAUAAAGUCAGUUGCCAAAGAUUACAUACGUAUAGAGAUGUAUAACUCCAGCAAUUUCAAAGAAGUUUUCAAAGAAGAGCUUCCCUGCCACCCUCCUCAUAGAGCUAUUGACCUGGCAUCCUGGACUUUGAGGAACUAAGAUUGUUACUCACUUAAAGCAAUUGCUUCUUUCGCAUUCUUUCUUCUAAGACAGAAUUACCUGCCCUGUACUACCAAGGCAAAGGAGAAUGUCAAAAGACUGCAGAUCAAGUAUGGAAUAAGCUGUUGAUGAGCUCCUGGAUGAAAAACUGUACCUGCUUCAGCAGUAUAGGAGAACAAAGAUGUGAAGAGUGACAGGAAGCGUGAAAUCCUGACGAGCACACUUCCUUGAUACCCUCAGAAAGAUGUCCUUCUUGGGAAGAUGGUUAGCUCCAGUGACCUUAUGCUGUAACAUAUAAAAGAGAGAAUUGGUCCAGAGUGUGUUCCUCUGUGUUGCCAAUAAACUACCUUUUGCUUCCUCCAGUGGGAGGAUGUAUUGGGGGGGUUAAGUGGAGUAUGUAUGAAUAAAAUGAAAAUAAUUGGAUCUAUGGUAUACCCUGCAUUGAUGGGCAAAUGCUAACAUUAUUUGAAAGCCCAGUAAAGGAGAGCGAGGAUGAGAAAAGAAAGAAUUCAACUUAUAAAAUAAAAAAUCAAAAUAGCCAUGUCAACUCAGCCAGCCUCCUAUUAAUUUGGAAAUAAUCCAAUUUUAGCUGAGCCAUCCAAUUCCAGGGAUUAACAUAAAAUUAAGUCAUUCCUAGGUAUAUCAAGAGUUUUCUAAGUGUAUUGGCUUCUUACUUUCAAGAAAGCAAAAUCUAUUUGGGGGCUAAUAUCCUUACAUGUUCUUAUUUAUUUUGGUGGAUUUAGUAGAGCCUGGACCGAUAUUCAAAGUGGUUUCAGGAGAAAAUCAAAGAAAAUUUACCAGAAGAAAAGUGUGUGCCAAAUAGUCAUUCAUUAAAGCAAACCAAACCAGUCAGGCGCAGUGGUUCCCGCCUGUAAU